CUGAAAUCCGCCCGCUGCUCACUGGCUAGAGCAGACACUCAGCAGAAAAGGCACCUCUUCCACCAUGACUCUGCACCCGGGCAGCAGUGGGCCUGAAGCAGGGAGUCUGGUCUGCCUGGUGGUGCCCACUGCACCGAGCUACCCCCAGCCCUGUUUCUUCUCUUGAAGUGCCUUUUGGUCAGUCCCAGUGAGAGUUGGUGGCCAGGAGAGAAGGCAAUGGGCACAAAGUGUGCUUUUGUUCUUUCUUAGAUCCCAAGGUCCCCUUCAGUUGGUCACAAGAGGAAAUUUCUGACUUGUACGAUCACACCACCAUCCUGUUUGCAGCCGAAGUGUUUUACGACGACGACUUGACUGAUGCUGUGUUUAAAACGCUCUCCCGACUCGCCCACAGAUUGAAAAAUGCCUGC
rnacentral:lncRNA from 1 species